AUUGAACGCUGGCGGCAGGCCUAACACAUGCCAGUCGAACGGUAACAGGAAGAAGCUUGCUUCUUUGCUGACGAGUGGCGGACGGGUGAGUAAUGUCUGGGAAACUGCCUGAUGGAGGGGGAUAACUACUGGAAACGGUAGCUAAUACCGCAUAACGUCGCAAGACCAAAGAGGGGGACCUUCGGGCCUCUUGCCAUCGGAUGUGCCCAGAUGGGAUUAGCUAGUAGGUGGGGUAACGGCUCACCUAGGCGACGAUCCCUAGCUGGUCUGAGAGGAUGACCAGCCACACUGGAACUGAGACACGGUCCAGACUCCUACGGGAGGCAGCAGUGGGGAAUAUUGCACAAUGGGCGCAAGCCUGAUGCAGCCAUGCCGCGUGUAUGAAGAAGACCUUCGGGUUGUAAAGUACUUUCAGCGGGGAGGAAGGGAGUAAAGUUAAUACCUUUACUCAUUGACGGUACCCGCAGAAGAAGCACCGGCUAACUCCGUG
rnacentral:rRNA from 1 species